UACAGAGGUCUCAAGCGUUGUUCGGAUUCAUUGGGCGUAAAGGGUGUGUAGGUGGCGCCGUUAGUCGGGUGUGAAAUUUCGGAGCUUAACUCCGAAACUGCAUUCGAUACUGCGGUGCUUGAGGACUGGAGAGGAGAAUGGAAUUCCUGGUGUAGCGGUGAAAUGCGCAGAUAUCAGGAAGAACACCCGUGGCGAAGGCGGUUCUCUGGGACGGUACUGACGCUGAGACGCGAAAGCGUGGGGAGCGAACAGG
rnacentral:rRNA from 1 species